GGGCCCGCACAAGCAGUGGAGUAUGUGGUUUAAUUCGAAGCAACGCGAAGAACCUUACCAGGGCUUGACAUCCUCGGACGACACUAGAGAUAGUGUUUUCUCUUCGGAGACUGAGAGACAGGUGGUGCAUGGUUGUCGUCAGCUCGUGUCGUGAGAUGUUCGGUUAAGUCCGGCAACGAGCGCAACCCUUAUUGUUAGUUGCCAUCAUUUAGUUGGGCACUCUAGCGAGACUGCCGUUGACAAAACGGAGGAAGGUGGGGACGACGUCAAAUCAUCAUGCCCCUUAUGUCCUGGGCUACACACGUACUACAAUGGUAACAACAGCGAGCAGCGAAGCCGCGAGGCGAAGCAAAUCUUCAAAUGUUAUCUCAGUUCAGAUUGCAGGCUGCAACUCGCCUGCAUGAAGCAGGAAUUGCUAGUAAUGGCAGGUCAGCAUACUGCCGUGAAUACGUUCCCGGGCCUU
rnacentral:rRNA from 1 species